rnacentral:sRNA from 1 species
GCUGGGUGCGGUGGCGCACGCCUAUAAUCCCAGUGGCUCAGGAGGCUGAGACAGGAGGAUCACGGAUUCAAAGCCAGCCUUAGCACUAAGGAGGCACUAAGCAACUCAGUGAGACCCAGUCUCUA